GUGUGUGUGUCUUAGUAUGUGUGUGUGUUGGUGUAUGUGUGUGAUAGUGUAUGUGUGUGAUAGUGUAUGUGUGUGUUAGUGUGUGUGUGUUAGUGUAUGUGUAUCUUAGUGUGUGUGUGUGUUAGUGUAUGUGUGUCUUAGUAUGUGUGUGUUAGUGUAUGUGUGUCUUAGUAUGUGUGUGUUAGUGUGUGUGUGUGUGUGUUAGUGUAUGUGUGUCUUAGUGUGUGUGUCUUAGUAUGUGUUAGUAUGUGUGUGUGUUAGUGUGUGUGUAUGUGUGUUAGUGUAUGAGAGUGUGUGUGUGUUAGUGUAUGAGUGUGUGUGUUAGUGUAUGUGUGUGUUAGUGUAUUAGUGUAUGUGUGUGUUAGUGUAUUAGUGUUUGUGUUAGUGCAUGUGUUAGUGUGUGUCAGUGAGUGUGUCUGUUAUUGGGUGUGUGUCUGCUAGUGAGUGUGUUACUGUGUGUGUCUGUGAGUGUGUGUUUGUCAGUGAAAGUGUAUGUUUUGUGAGUGUGUAUGUAUGUCUGUCGCUGAGUGUGUCUCUGUCAGUAAAUGUGUGUGUCUGUUAGCUAGUGUGUAUGCGUCUGUUCGUGAUAGUUUGUGUGUGUGUCUCUUCAGCAUUUACCUUUCUCCAGCGUCGGACUCCCCAGUGUCCGCCUCUCAGCUCCGAAUGCAAAUGCGUGGCAAGAGGCGCGCGCGCGCAUUUAAACCGCCCAUAGGAAAGCAUUACUCAAUGCUUUCCUAUGGACGUUCAGUGUCUUCUCACUGUGAUUUUCACAGUGAGAAUCGCGGAAGCUCCUCUAGUAGCUGUCAAUGAGACAGCCACCAGAGGCUGGAUUAACCCUCAGUGAAACAUAGCCGUUUUCACUGCUAUGUUUUCAGCUGCAGGGUUAAAACUAGAGGGACC